AACGAACGCUGGCGGCGCGUUUUAAGCAUGCAAGUCGGACGGUAAGGGAGAAGCUUGCUUUUCCCCUAGAGUGGCGAACGGGUGAGUAACGCGUAGAUGAUCUACCUUUUGGUUGGGGAUAGCUCAUGGAAACAUGGGGUAAUACCGAAUACGAUCUUUUUGCUGUGGCGAGAGGAUGAAAGGGGCUUCGGCCUCGCCGGAAGAUGAGUCUGCGUAUGAUUAGCUAGUUGGUGUGGUAAAGGCGCACCAAGGCGACGAUCAUUAGCCGGCCUGAGAGGGUGACCGGCCACAUUGGGACUGAGACACGGCCCAGACUCCUACGGGAGGCAG
rnacentral:rRNA from 1 species